rnacentral:rRNA from 1 species
CGUUACGAACGUGACUCAAUACAUUAAAUUGAUUCCUAUCAGAUAAGUAAACUGUUGAUGCUUGCUUAUGGCUUGCUUUCGGGUAGGUCAUUGGGUAAGUGGAAGUUUACCUGAUAGUUUGUCAGCUGUAAAAGGUUGGCUUUGAUCUGCUUAAUGAGACAAAUUGUGUUUAGCAAAAUGAGAUUGAGCAAUAACAGGUCCGUGAUGCCCUUAGAUGUCGUGGGUUGCACGCGCGCUACAAUGAGACCAUCAACGUGAUACUUGAUAAGAAAGGAUUGGGAAAUCAAUUAAAUGUGCUCUUAGUUGGGAUUGUGGAUUGUAAUUAUUCACAUGAACCUGGAAUUCCCAGUAAAUGUUAGUCAUCAGCUAGCGUUGACUAAGUCCCUGCCCUUUGUACACACCGCCCGUCGCUAUUACCGAUUGGUUAUUUAGUGAGGUCUCCGGAGGUAAUCGCCGAAGAUGCUUAGGUAUCAUUAGGUUGUUUUGCCAAAGUUGACCGAACUUGAUGAUUGAGAGGAAAUAAAAGUCGUAACAAGGUUUCCGUAGGUGAACCUGCGGAAGGAUCAUUA